rnacentral:rRNA from 1 species
GACGAACGCUGGCGGCGUGCUUAACACAUGCAAGUCGAGCGGUAAGGCCCUUUCGGGGGUACACGAGCGGCGAACGGGUGAGUAACACGUGGGUGACCUGCCUUUAGCUCUGGGAUAAGCCUGGGAAACUGGGUCUAAUACCGGAUAUGACUCCGCGGUGCAUGCUGUGGGGUGGAAAGCCUUGUGCGGCUGGAGAUGGGCCCGCGGCCUAUCAGCUUGUUGGUGGGGUGANGGCCUACCAAGGCGACGACGGGUAGCCGGCCUGAGAGGGCGACCGGCCACACUGGGACUGAGACACGGCCCAGACUCCUACGGGAGGCAGCAGUGGGGAAUCUUGCGCAAUGGGCGAAAGCCUGACGCAGCGACGCCGCGUGAGGGAUGACGGCCUGGUUGUAA